rnacentral:rRNA from 1 species
AGAACGAACGCUGGCGGCAGGCUUAACACAUGCAAGUCGAACGGGUGUAGCAAUACAUCAGUGGCAGACGGGUGAGUAACACGUGGGAACCUUCCUCGUUGUACGGAACAACUCAGGGAAACUUGAGCUAAUACCGUAUACGUCCGAGAGGAGAAAGAUUUAUCGCAAUGAGACGGGCCCGCGUCGGAUUAGCUAGUUGGUGGGGUAAUGGCCUACCAAGGCGACGAUCCGUAGCUGAUCUGAGAGGAUGAUCAGCCACACUGGGACUGAGACACGGCCCAGACUCCUACGGGAGGCAGCAGUGGGAAUCUUGGACAAUGGGCGCAAGCCUGAUCCAGCCAUGCCGCGUGAGUGAAGAAGGCCUUAGGGUUGUAAAGCUCUUUUGCCAGGGACGAUAAUGACGGUACCUGGAGAAUAAGCCCCGGCAAACUUCGUGCCAGCAGCCGC